UAUCUCUUAUUUCAAAUCGUCGCCUUCCUGCUCUACCCAUCCUUCCUGCUCUACCCAUCUGUUUGCGCUCGACUUCCCUGGAUAAGCUCUCGAUCUCUCAUAUCUCAUCUCUCAACUCUCAAGCUCUCAAUCUGUCUCACAAGCUCUCGAUCUCUCAUCUCUCAUCUCUCAAGCUCUCAAUCUGUCUCACAAGCUCUCGAUAUCUCAUCUCUCAAGCUCUCGAUUUAAGCUUUGUUCGAGGGGACUUCUGCUACCGGAUCUCGUGCUUAUGCCCCUAAUUCAACCCGUGAGAGGACUACGAUUUCAUCAUCAUCAUUUACAUCCAAUAUCCACACUACUCAAGAUACUGAAAAUGAGGUGGAUGGAGAUGAGGAGAAAGGACCAACUGUCAAUAAAGCGAGCACAAUUCCGUCUAGACCAAAGAAGAAGAGUAAAACCAAGGUCGACAUGGAUGAAUUGGCUUUAGAAAUGAGGGGUGCACUUCAAACACUUGUUACACAACAAACCACACUUGUUGCACAACAAACUGGACUUGUUGCACAACAAACCUCAAACCUGAAUGCUUGUAUUGAACGGUUGGACACUCUUGGCCUUGAUAAAAGGAGUCCUCUUUAUGGUGCAACCAUUGACAUUUUUGGGCAGUCAACAUUAUUAAGAGAGACAUGGUUGAUGAUCCCUUCAGACGCUGAUAUAUUAACAUCAUGGAUUUCAAGGACGGCAAGACGAAUGGGGCUCAUGGAUUAGUUUUAGGAAUUUGAACAAGUUACUUCGUUAUGUGAUUUGUAUUUGAACAUGUUAUUUGCUUAUGUGUUUGAUAUUUGACAAUUUGGUUACAUGUUUUGGAUGUUGAACUAGUUGUUAUUUGGUAAUGCAUUUGAUAUCAAAGUUUACUUCUAUUUGA